GUACACUGGUGACUGGAGACUUGACUACACUACACGGCACUGCGCUGGGCGUAAAAACCCAUAGUUCACACUGUCAAUCACCCGUCCUCAUUACACACCCUGUAAUUAGAGGGGUUUUGUGGGGACCGCGUCUGAGUGAGAGUGUUUUUUGUGUGUUUGCGUGCACAAUGUUUUUAAACGAGAGAAAGUUUUUUCCGGAGACAAGUGUCCACACACAGACGUAAUUUACUUUGUGUAAACGCUCGCUUCGGAAUAGACGAUGUGUUAGCCUAGGUUAUAUGCUUUGCAGCUUUUGCCUGUGUACUUUGUAUGUACGUGCACACUGUGUGUGUGUGUGUGUGUAUGUGUGCUCGUAAUAAUCACCGUCUUACUUCAAAGGGCGCGAAACCUGUGAUUUGGACACAUCAGUAAGUCCUGUUUAGACUCACAUCAGUGCAGUCAGUCAUUUCCUGGUCACACCUGACUGAGUGAGCUCAGCCGAGGAGUGUACAUAAGGAGAGCUAAUGGGAAGUGGAGAUAGCCCUUGCCUGUAAUUUCCCAAAGCCCUAUUCAUUAAGGACUUCUUCCUCUUUCUUUUAAAAAAUUGCAUUUUUUAACCCUUAUGGGUCCUAUAUAUUUUUAACAAAAUCUCAAUUUGUAUGCUACAUCAAUUAUAGUAGCAUGACAAGUAUGAAUAAUACACAAAACCCUACAGGAAUACUUAAACAGCUAGUAUGGUGGACUGUGACUGUUUACAUUCACCCAUGUCAAUGGUUUGUUUUUCUGAUAAUAUAAUCUGGGUGUUUCUCACACUCUGAUUAAGAUAAUUCUGUGUUGGCGUGCCGUUGGCGUAGACGGUGACACGGACAGGAAAUGAGUAAGCGUAUAUACCAGAGGGCUGUGGGGCAAUAGACGACACCUACUAGUGCUGAGGCUUGCCCCCGAUAGACUCCACUCCGAGGCCUAUCAUUACGCUUGUUUAGAAGAACUAGACUAAACUUCCUGGGAGAAUCCACGGAUAAUUCAAAACCGCUCCUCAGGACGGAAUCCCACUCUGAAACGGUGUCGUUUAUGGGACUUCCACCACAGAUUACCGUGGGACUCCCAUGGAUCAACCACCACCAGGCCAGGCUAAGGCCUACCCCCAGCCCAGACAGCAGGGCCUCACACACAGCAGCAGCACCCCUGGUGGUCUUCCCAGGAGCCCGGCCCUGGGAAGACCCUGACACAGGCUUUGAGGAGACCUUUUGACAUUGCCGCAGACACGGAUUUAGAAUGGUCCACCAAAUCAAAAAAAGAUUUCACACCAAGUUAACCACCAGAAAGUGUCAAGCAUCAAAAUGUCGUCCACAGCACGGAUGAUGGAUGUCCCCAAUUCAGUUUUGUUUCCUUCAUACGACCGGAAGUCCAUCCCGGUCUGGUUUCCCCUUCCUGUCUGGGGAAUGCUCUGGCCAGACUCACUUCCUGGUGGUGCUGGGGACUGUGGGAAUCACAAUCUGACGGGUCACCUGGCAACCUGGCUUGACUUUCUAGGAUGGUGCUGAUUCAUGGACGGGAGCCAUCCAGGAUCAUUUCAGGUCGGCGUUUGAUUUUAUUUGUUUCUCGUUCUCGUACUGCAGGAAAAAUAAUGCAAAGGUCAGGUUUGGCAGGUGGAGCUAACGAGGCAGUGGGGGGGUCAGGGGGGGGGCAGGGAAUUGGGGAGAGACCUUUAGAAACCUUCUUAUUUUGGAUCCUUCGAGCAGGGAUUUUAAACUCUUUUGGCACUUCAUCUAAAGGGCAAACUUGCCAGGGGAGGAAAAUGAAAAAGACGAACGAUAGGAUCAGAAAGUGCAAAGUGCAAAACAUGAAUCAUAUUUUGCAUUGUGUGCAAUUUCAAACGUUGAAAUGAAUCACGAAAUUAUAUUUUGAACGGAUCGUCUAUUAUUAUAAUAUCCAACAAUUUGAAUAAUCCACACAGUUAGUCAGACACACACAGAGCUCCUUAACCUAUUUUCUAACUGGCAUGAAUCAACGCAAGCCUCGUUAAUUCAGAGUCAACAACUCAUUAGUAUGCAGUGUGGAAAUAGAAGGGUGUGCUUGUUGUGUUGUUCAAUCCUAGUCUGAAUCCUCUCUCAGUAAUCGGACAGAUUAUUGCACCCAUAAUCCGUCCUUUGCACACGUGCACACAUCUUGCACUCGUACACACAGUCAAAAUAAAGUGUCAUUAAUAACCACGAUGGAUUUUGAAUCCGUCGAGUGCUUAGCCACAGGGGAUAUGCACUCAAUAAUGGCACACGCAAAACUACAGUAGCUACGGAUUAGUCUCGGUAAUCACAUAUUUACAGGUUCAGAAAUACAUUUCUGAUGCGGGCACCCAUUGAUAUCGGUUUGCUCUAAAUUAUAGAGUGACGUGUGCUGAUUGUUUUGCCAGUGACAUUUUUGCUUUCAAACAAUCAAAUGUGCUUUUUUUUUUUUUUUUCAGCCAAUCACAUACAGAAUGUACGCACGCACGCACGCAUAUUACCACGGCAGCUCUCCGUGAUGACUUCCUAUUUAAUCUGUAGCUGUGUCCAAUGAGGAGACAGAUUGUAAUUUACACACAUAUCCCCCCCCCCCCCACCCACCCAACAGCCCCCCACACAACCAGCAUGUUUGAAGUAUAUCUGUCAGCUGAUAUGGCCCAUAUAUAUACUGUAUACACUCUGUAAUGACAUGUAAUCUCCAAUUACACUGACAGAAGCACAUAUUAAUCCCUAGAUGGGGGUCAGCCAGACAGGCUUUAUGUAAACGUCAGAGGAAGCGUCCAGGGUGGGGAUACAGUUAAAGAUUCAACGCAGUGACCUCACUGUUUCUGCAGGGAUUGUAGAUUACAGUUUGCGACAAAACGUAUGCUGUUUGAGUGUGAGGAUUAUGGUACACACGCACGCACACACACACACACACACACACACACACACACACACACACACACACACACACACACACACACACACACACACACACACACACACACACACACACACACACACACACAUACACACACACACACACACACACACGGCAAUAGCUUAAACAA